rnacentral:rRNA from 1 species
GAGUUUGAUCCUGGCUCAGGACGAACGCUGGCGGCGUGCUUAACACAUGCAAGUCGAACGAUGAAGCCUAGCUUGCUAGGUGGAUUAGUGGCGAACGGGUGAGUAAUACGUGAGUAACCUGCCUUUAACUCUGGGAUAAGCCUUGGAAACGAGGUCUAAUACCGGAUACGACCAGUUCCCGCAUGGGAUGCUGGUGGAAAGGGAUAUGUACUGGUUUUAGAUGGGCUCACGGCCUAUCAGCUUGUUGGUGAGGUAAUGGCUCACCAAGGCGACGACGGGUAGCCGGCCUGAGAGGGUGACCGGCCACACUGGGACUGAGACACGGCCCAGACUCCUACGGGAGGCAGCAGUGGGGAAUAUUGCACAAUGGGCGCAAGCCUGAUGCAGCGACGCCGCGUGAGGGAUGACGGCCUUCGGGUUGUAAACCUCUUUCAGCAGGGAAGAAGCGAAAGUGACGGUACCUGGAGAAGAAGCGCCGGCUAACUACGUGCCAGCAGCCGCGGUAAUACGUAGGGCGCGAGCGUUGUCCGGAAUUAUUGGGCGUAAAGAGCUUGUAGGCGGUUUGUCACGUCUGCUGUGAAAGCCCGGGGCUUAACUCCGGGUCUGCAGUGGGUACGGGCUAACUAGAGUGCAGUAGGGGAGACUGGAAUUCCUGGUGUAGCGGUGAAAUGCGUAGA